rnacentral:rRNA from 1 species
AUUGAACGCUGGCGGCAGGCCUAACACAUGCAAGUCGGACGGUAGCACAGAGGAGCUUGCUCCUCGGGUGACGAGUGGCGGACGGGUGAGUAAUGUCUGGGGAUCUGCCCGAUAGAGGGGGAUAACCACUGGAAACGGUGGCUAAUACCGCAUAACGUCGCAAGACCAAAGAGGGGGACCUUCGGGCCUCCCACUAUCGGAUGAACCCAGAUGGGAUUAGCUAGGAGGCGGGGUAAUGGCCCACCUAGGCGACGACCCCUAGCUGGUCUGAGAGGAUGGCCAGCCACACUGGAACUGAGACACGGUCCAGACUCCUACGGGAGGCAGCAGUGGGGAAUAUUGCACAAUGGGCGCGAGCCUGAUGCAGCCAUGCCGCGUGUAUGAAGAAGGCCUUCGGGUUGUAAAGUACUUUCAGCGGGGAGGAAGGCGAUAAGGUUAAUAACCUUGUCGAUUGACGUUACCCGCAGAAGAAGCACCGGCUAACUCCGUGCCAGCAGCCGCAGUAA